rnacentral:rRNA from 1 species
CCUACGGGAGGCAGCAGUGGGGAAUUUUCCGCAAUGGGCGAAAGCCUGACGGAGCAAUACCGCGUGAGGGAAGACUGCCUAUGGGUUGUAAACCUCUUUUUUCAGGGAGGAAUAAAUGACGUGUACCGAAG